rnacentral:tmRNA from 1 species
GGGAGUGACCGGCUUCGAUGGGAUUUCUUUUAAAAUUUGCGCAAGUAGUGGAUGGAUAAUCACCACUUUAAUUUCCUUAUCCAAAAUCAUAAUUGCCAAUCAAAAUAGCAAUUACGCUUUAGCUUACGCUUAAGGCGCGUCCUCUCGGUGAUUUCUGCUAGCCGAAUCAGGGCGUCAUUAGCAGGAUAAGGUCCUAUUCUCUUUUCAAUGUUUUAGGGAUAGGAUACGAAAAACACAAAACAGGUAACAGGUUAUUUUGCCACGCCUUACUCUGUUACUAAAAAGUGUGGCUAAACUUGUAGUGCGUUUUUAAAUCAUCUUCCAGACUGGGGUUCAACUCCCCACACUUCCACCG